rnacentral:piRNA from 1 species
AGACCAGACUCAGGGGUAGCCUUUUCAAACU